rnacentral:rRNA from 1 species
GACGAACGCUGGCGGCGUGCUUAACACAUGCAAGUCGAACGGAAAGGCCCUGCUUUUGUGGGGUGCUCGAGUGGCGAACGGGUGAGUAACACGUGAGUAACCUGCCCUUGACUUUGGGAUAACUUCAGGAAACUGGGGCUAAUACCGGAUAGGAGCUCCUGCUGCAUGGUGGGGGUUGGAAAGUUUCGGCGGUUGGGGAUGGACUCGCGGCUUAUCAGCUUGUUGGUGGGGUAGUGGCUUACCAAGGCUUUGACGGGUAGCCGGCCUGAGAGGGUGACCGGCCACAUUGGGACUGAGAUACGGCCCAGCCUCCUACGGGGGGCAGCAGGGGGGAAUUUUGCACAAUGGGCGGAAGCCUGAGGCAGCAACGCCGCGUGGGGGAUGACGGCCUUCGGGUGGUAAACCGCUUUCGCCUGUGACGAAGCGGGGGUGACGGUAAUGGGUAAAGAAGCACCGGCUAACUACGU